GACGAACGCUGGCGGCGUGCUUAACACAUGCAAGUCGAACGGAAAGGCCCUGCUUUUGUGGGGUGCUCGAGUGGCGAACGGGUGAGUAACACGUGAGUAACCUGCCCUUGACUUUGGGAUAACUUCAGGAAACUGGGGCUAAUACCGGAUAGGAGCUCCUGCUGCAUGGUGGGGGUUGGAAAGUUUCGGCGGUUGGGGAUGGACUCGCGGCUUAUCAGCUUGUUGGUGGGGUAGUGGCUUACCAAGGCUUUGACGGGUAGCCGGCCUGAGAGGGUGACCGGACACAUUGGGGGAGAGAGCCGCCACGGGCUCAUAGGGGGGGGAGGAGGGGGAAAUAUUGCCAAAGGGGGGGACGCGCUGUGCGGAACCCCCGCGUGGGGGAGGGGGACCUUCGGGUGUUAAACAGCUUUCGCCUGAGAAGAAGGGGGGGUGACGGUAAUGGAUAAAAAAGCACCGGCUAACUCCGUG
rnacentral:rRNA from 1 species